GCUAAUACCGGAUAACAUUUUGAACCGCAUGGUUCGAAAUUGAAAGGCGGCUUCGGCUGUCACUUAUGGAUGGACCCGCGUCGCAUUAGCUAGUUGGUGAGGUAACGGCUCACCAAGGCAACGAUGCGUAGCCGACCUGAGAGGGUGAUCGGCCACACUGGGACUGAGACACGGCCCAGACUCCUACGGGAGGCAGCAGUAGGGAAUCUUCCGCAAUGGACGAAAGUCUGACGGAGCAACGCCGCGUGAGUGAUGAAGGCUUUCGGGUCGUAAAACUCUGUUGUUAGGGAAGAACAAGUGC
rnacentral:rRNA from 2 species